rnacentral:rRNA from 1 species
UACGUAGGGGGCGAGCGUUGUCCGGAUUUAUUGGGCGUAAAGAGCGUGUAGGCGGCCAGGUAGGUCCGUUGUGAAAACUCGAGGCUCAACCUCGAGACGCCGAUGGAAACCAUCUGGCUAGAGUCCGGAAGAGGAGAGUGGAAUUCCCGGUGUAGCGGUGAAAUGCGCAGAUAUCGGGAAGAACACCCGUGGCGAAGGCGGCUCUCUGGGACGGUACUGACGCUGAGACGCGAAAGCGUGGGGAGCGAACAGG